rnacentral:siRNA from 1 species
AUACAACAGGUUUGUUUGGCUGUA